rnacentral:rRNA from 1 species
UACAGAGGGGGCAAGCGUUGUUCGGAAUUACUGGGCGUAAAGGGCACGUAGGCGGCCUGCUAAGUCGAACGUGAAAUCCCCGGGCUCAACCCGGGAACUGCGUCCGAUACUGGCAGGCUUGAAUCCGGGAGAGGGAUGCGGAAUUCCAGGUGUAGCGGUGAAAUGCGUAGAUAUCUGGAGGAACACCGGUGGCGAAGGCGGCAUCCUGGACCGGCAUUGACGCUGAGGCGCGAAAGCCAGGGGAGCAAACGGG